rnacentral:rRNA from 1 species
GAUGAACGCUGGCGGCGUGCCUAAUACAUGCAAGUCGAGCGAACAGAUGAGAAGCUUGCUUCUCUGAUGUUAGCGGCGGACGGGUGAGUAACACGUGGGUAACCUACCUAUAAGACUGGGAUAACUCCGGGAAACCGGGGCUAAUACCGGAUAAUAUUUUGAACCGCAUGGCUCAAUAGUGAAAGACGGUUUCGGCUGUCACUUAUAGAUGGACCCGCACCGUAUUAGCUAGUUGGUAAGGUAACGGCUUAGCAAGGCGACGAUACGUAGCCGACCUGAGAGGGUGAUCGGCCACACUGAAACUGAGACACGGUCCAGACUCCUACGGGAGGCAGCAGUAGGGAAUCUUCCGCAAUGGGCGAAAGCCUGACGGAGCAACGCCGCGUGAGUGAUGAAGGUCUUCGGAUCGUAAAACUCUGUUGUUAGGGAAGAACAAAUUUGUUAGUAACUGAACAAGUCUUGACGGUACCUAACCAGAAAGCCACGGCUAACUACGUGCCAGCCGCCGCGGUAA